UACGUAGGGUGCGAGCGUUGUCCGGAAUUACUGGGCGUAAAGAGCUCGUAGGUGGUUUGUCGCGUUGUUCGUGAAAAACUCACAGCUCAACUGUGGGCGUGCGGGCGAUACGGGCAGACUGGAGUACUGCAGGGGAGACUGGGAAUUCCUGGUGUAGCGGGUGGAAUGCGCAGAUAUCAGGAGGAACACCGGGUGGCGAAGGCGGGGUCUCUGGGG
rnacentral:rRNA from 1 species